GUUUGAUCCUGGCUCAGGAUGAACGCUAGCGGGAGGCCUAACACAUGCAAGCCGAGCGGUAUGGGUAGCUUGCUACCCAGAGAGCGGCGUACGGGUGCGUAACACGUGUGCAACCUGCCCCUAUCCGGGGGAUAGCCCUCCGAAAGGAGGAUUAAUACCCCAUAAUAUAUCUGGUGGCAUCACUAGAUAUUGAAAACCCCGGUGGAUAGGGAUGGGCACGCGCAAGAUUAGAUAGUUGGCGGGGUAACGGCCCACCAAGUCGAUGAUCUUUAGGGGUCCUGAGAGGGAGAUCCCCCACACUGGUACUGAGACACGGACCGGACUCCUACGGGAGGCAGCAGUGAGGAAUAUUGGACAAUGGGUGGAAGCCUGAUCCAGCCAUCCCGCGUGAGGGACGACGGCCCUAUGGGUUGUAAACCUCUUUUGUACGGGGAUAAACCUAUCUACGUGUAGAUAGCUGAAGGUACCGUACGAAUAAGCACCGGCUAACUCCGUGCCAGCAGCCGCGGUAAUACGGAGGGUGCGAGCGUUAUCCGGAUUUAUUGGGUUUAAAGGGUCCGUAGGCGGGCCCGUAAGUCAGUGGUGAAAUCUCGCAGCUUAACUGCGAAACUGCCAUUGAUACUGCGGGCCUUGAGUGGAUUUGAAGUGGCUGGAAUAAGUAGUGUAGCGGUGAAAUGCAUAGAUUUACUUAGAACACCGAUGCGAAGGCAGGUCACUAAGUCCAACUGACGCUAGGGACGAAAGCGUGGGUAGCGAACAGGAUUAGAUACCCUGGUAGUCCACGCCGUAACGAUGCUACUCGUUUUUGGGCCGCAGGCUCAAGACCAAGCGAAAGUGAUAAGUUAGCCACCUGGGGAGUACGUUC
rnacentral:rRNA from 1 species